AAUGUAAUAUUGGGAGGUAGUUUGUUUUUUUCCCAACCUCCCAUGGUAGAUGGGGAUUUCUCUUGAUGUUGUGGAGAGAACUCUGUUUUGAUGCGGGGAAUGGCCUGGAAUUUAUUUGGUGUUACCAUCUUAUCUCCAUCAACCUAACUUAAUAUCCACUGGAGGCUUGCCCUGACAUUUUUUUUCCAUAAAGAAAAGGCCGGACUUCAUAAACUUCGAUUAAAUAGCACAAAUCAACUAUAGCCGUGCAGCAAAGUAGAAAUAAAGGUUAAUGGUUAAAUGAAUUCGGUUCAAAAAAAAAGUCAGUUUCUCAAAUGCAAGAAGGUUAGGAAAAUUAUAACGUACUAGUUUUGGGUUGGUUUGAGUCUUAAUCAGAUAUUUAAUGAUCUUUAUCAAAGUCAUAUUUGGAAUUGAAAGUAUCAUUCAAUCUAAGUCAAUUUCUCAUAAAUACGACUUGGAUUGGA
rnacentral:lncRNA from 1 species